AUACGGAGGAUGCGAGCGUUAUCCGGAUUUAUUGGGUUUAAAGGGUGCGCAGGCGGCCAUUUAAGUCAGCGGUUAAAUCGUGGGGCUCAACCCCAUUCUGCCGUUGAUACUGGGUGGCUUGAUUGCGGUCGAGGUUGGCGGAAUUCGUUGUGUAGCGGGGAAAUGCAUAGAUAUGACGAAGAACACCGAGUGCGUAGGCAGCUGACCAGACCGCAAAUGACGCUCAUGCACGAAAGUGCGGGGAUCGAACAGGAUUAGAUACCCUGGUAGUCCGCACAGUAAACGAUGAAUACUUGUUUUCGGCGAUAUAAUGUCGGAGGCAAAGCGAAAGCGAUAAGUAUUCCACCUGGGGAGUACGCCGGCAACGGUGAAACUCAAAUGAAUUGACGGGG
rnacentral:rRNA from 1 species